rnacentral:rRNA from 1 species
AAGACCUUGCGCUUUUGGAGCGGCCGAUGUCUGAUUAGCUAGUUGGUGAGGUAAAGGCUUACCAAGGCUUCGAUCAGUAGCUGGUCUGAGAGGACGACCAGCCACACUGGGACUGAGACACGGCCCAGACUCCUACGGGAGGCAGCAGUGGGGAAUUUUGGACAAUGGGGGCAACCCUGAUCCAGCCAUGCCGCGUGAGUGAAGAAGGCCUUCGGGUUGUAAAGCUCCUUCAGCCGGAACGAAAAGGUUACGGUUAAUACCCGUGACUAAUGACGGUACCGGAAGAAGAAGCACCGGCUAACUACGUGCCAGCAGCCGCGGUAAUACGUAGGGUGCGAGCGUUAAUCGGAAUUACUGGGCGUAAAGCGUGCGCAGGCGGUUUUGUAAGUCAGAUGUGAAAUCCCCGGGCUUAACCUGGGAACU